GGGUUUUGUGUUGUUGUUAUUGUUGUUUACUGUUUUCUGUAUUGAAGCCAACGUUUUUGAUUUCUCUGCUUGUUCUCUACAGGGCUUCAAGUUCUCCUUCCAGACUAUCUCCAGGAGUGCUUUGUACAAGCAGCUCUGAGCUACAUCGCUUGCAAUUCGGAAGGAGAGUUUAUCUGCAAGGACAAUGACUGCUGGUGUCAGUGUGGCCCCAGGUUCCCAGAAUGCAACUGCCCCUCCAUGGACAUCCAAGCUGUGGAAGAGAAUCUUCUUCGAGUAACUGAAACCUGGGAAGUCUACAACAGCAACUUUGAGGAGUCAGAUUCGUCAUCAGGAAAUAUCAUGCUAAUGAAUAACUCCAGAGAUGUCUGUGUGGAUUAGGCCAGACAAUGCAGAUAAAGUCCUUGGCACGGAGUGCAGAGUGGCGCACAAAG